ensembl:lncRNA
AUGUUUCCGUUUGCAAACACAAGGAUGGCCACAGCCUUCCACACUGCUCCCAGGACGCUGCGGCCGACAGGGGCCCCAUCUGCUUCAGGCACGCCCAUGCAAGUUCAGCAACUGGCAGCUGGCCUUCUCCAGGAUCUGGACGUCCCUCAUAGUCUUGUCAAUCUCUGGGAAGACACGGAUUUUGCAUGUGACGGGAACAGAGUUUCUCGUGUGUCAGCUCAAUCAUUCUUUGGAGCAGGUCCCACUCGUCUGGCAGGUGUGAAGAGGGAGAGUACCUGACUUCAGAGACCACCUGGGAAGCAGCACAAUGCUUAGUUAACAAGAAUAUCUGGAUUAAGCAGUGCGGAAGUGGCCACACACUGAGUCAGGCCAAGGAAGCUUUUCUGUCAUUGCUGCCCCACUGUGUUCCACUUUGCAUGCAGACAUAUCAAAGACUGAGAUGAAGAUCAUGGUGGACAAGGAAGAAUGAAAAACGUGGUGAUGGGAUCUGGGCCUCUACAUUAGAGAAAGAACCUAACCCCAGUUCUUUGGAUUCCUAAGGUGAGGUUGAGGAGGGCUUAGUGGAGGUGGAGACAGGGAGAACUGUGUGUUUCUGGGUUUGACAGCCAAGAAAAGGUUAAGAUCAGGGGCUUGCACCAGUCAUAUAGAUUAAAAAAAGAGCAAGGCAUGAUAAUUAGUAAAUGUAUAGUUUCAUGUUUUAACACAGAAGAGUCAGAGGAAAAACUGACAAUUUAAAAAGGGGCAUGGGAUGAGAAAAAGUCUGGGAGUUUCUGAGGUCUAGUAAGAUGCCUGGUACUUAUCUACGAAAACUGCCAUCACUACACCCUUUUGACCUACAAGAACAGUUGCUAUGGUUCGACCUAAUACACUGUAUGGGCUCAAAUAUAUAAAAUAUAUAACAAUUAGAAUUGAGAGUAAUCAGAAUACCAAUAAUACCCUCCCUUCUGAAAAAGUAACAGCUGUUAGAGAGGAAGAGCGCUUCUGAAAAUCAGUGUUUAAGAGUCAAAGCACCUGUAAGGGAGAGUUAACGAUCCUUUCAAAUCAAGUGAGGGCAGAAGGGUGAGGGCAUAGUUCAAAGGAACAAGGCAGCUCCACCGGAAGGUGGUGAGUAAAAGCUGCACACCGUGGCAAAUCAGUAGCAAUGGGAAAGGGCAGGCGGGUACAGCCAAGAAUAGCUACAAACAACUGGUCACUUCAAAGGAAACGCUGCGUAUGGGUGUCUGUGUAUAUGUACUACACAUAUUAACCAAGCACACACAUAAAUAUUUAAUAUAUAAAAAAUAAAGUGCUUUCUAACAGGUCCCUGGGCA